GUGACGUUGAAUGCUUCAACACUUUGCUGUAAUAACUGGGGCUUUAAGCCGUCAAUUUUAGAGAGCUAAUGGAUUUUGUCUUGGAUUAAUUUCUGACGAACAGUAGCCAAGUGUACUGUGCACUAGAUAACGUGCGGAUAAUUUUCCUCGAGAGUCUGACAAGCGAGGUAUCUGAAAACAUUCACAGUUUUCGCUUAUGCAGACAACUGACGCAAGAAAGUAGAUAUAACAAUAUCAGACAGACGGCCAUUAUCUUAGAAUCUCAAAAAUGGAAGAUCCGGCAGUAGUU